UCCGUUAUCGUCCAGCGGUUAGAUAUCUGGCUUUCACCCAGGAGACCCAAGUUCGAUUCCCGGUAACGGAA
rnacentral:tRNA from 1 species